GGGCGAAUAGCUCAGUUGGGAGAGCACCUGCCUUACAAGCAGGGGGUCACAGGUUCGAGUCCUGUUUCGCCCACCA
rnacentral:tRNA from 1 species